rnacentral:lncRNA from 1 species
GAAGCUCGGGAUACUAUUUGGCCUCAGGUAAAGAAAGAAAAAAAAAAAAAAAAACUAGUGGAUUUGAGAAGGUUUAUAACUUGCAGAAGCGUUUGUUGACAUCAACGACAAACUUGAAGAGGCUUUGAUUUACAAUGGCACAACAGUAUCAGAGGAAACAACAGUUGAAUUUGGACAAUGUGAAGGGCAGAAGGGAAACAAGUGGAGUUGAUACACUUGUGAUGGCCACAACAAAGUAGAACAAAUCAAGAUAUCAAACUUCAGAAAUAAAAACUGAGUAGAGCCCAUUUCUGCCUUACAGCCUGUUGAGGUUGUUUUGAGUCCGUGGACUCUUUGGAUAAAGCAAGAAUGGGGACCCUUUGGUUGAAAAACAAGGGUUGAGCUCUUUUUCAGGGCUUUCCUAUCAAGUAUGUUAUGUGCCUUUUUGAAGUCACUGAGAAAAGUUGAGGGCAGCAGAACUUAAAGUAGUCUGAAGAAGAAGAAACAUUUGUGAAAGAAAUGGAAACAAACAAUACAUGGCUAUAAAUUUCAUUUUAUUUUUUUGAUAGGUAAAUAAGAGGAAUAUAUUAAAAGUGCUUACAAAAUGGUGCAACAGAGUACACAUGCAGAAUACAACAAAGGCCAUAGGGCACACUACACGGCCAUAAAUAGAAAAGAUGAAAUCAAUUCCCAAAGGAAAAAAACAUUGCCCCAAGGCGAAGGUGUUGUGGAAUCUUAUGUUUACGAUGUUUAGGGUUACUUGGGUCCUUCAGCUCACGAUUAAAGACACUCUCCUUGGCUGGUCCGAUUCUUUUGUAGACAAGAAGCGUGGGAAGAUUUGGCGGGCAGCCCCCCUUUGUUUAUUUUGGACGAUGUGGAAAGAAAGAAAUAGGAUAGCUUUUGAUAAUGAGGCUUUGUCGAUCCAAAGAUUAAAAACCUCCUUCGUUUGUAAUCUUUUCUCUUGGACUACGUCUUGUUUAGAUGGAGAGCCCCACUCCUUAAUUAAUUUUGUAGAUUGGUUGGGCUCUAAUUGAGGGUUGGUGAGUGUAUGCUUCCUUGUGCUUUUUGUUUUUGGGGCUUCUCGUGUAUACUUCCUGUAUGCUUCGGGUUGCCUUUUUGCUUCCCUCUUUUUAAUAUAAUUAUUCUGUGUUUAUGUAUCAAAAAAAAAAAUUCCCAGAGGAAAAAAACAUACCAGAACUUGAAAGGAAGAUCACAUGAUAUUGCAGGAAACCAGAAUUUCUUUAACAUUAAAAAAACAUAAAAAUAUAAUAAUAAGAAAACCAUAAAAUUAAUAAUAAGAAAAUUAAUUAUUUGUCAUUUUCCAUAGUCUCUGAUUUAAUUUCUCUCUCUCUUUCUCUCUUUCUCUCAUGCCUCCAUAAA